rnacentral:lncRNA from 1 species
CCUUUUUAUAUUCAAAAGCAAACAGAUUGGUUGGGUUUUGCUUAUAUUUCUUUAUUUUAUUUUAUUUCUACUUUUCUAAAAUUUAUUUAUUUAUUUAUUUAUUUGUUUUACUCUAAAGUAUUCUUAUUUAAAGUAUUCUUAUUUUCUGUUAACUUAGAAAGCUCUGAGGGGACGUUUGUCCCUGGAGAUUUCUGAGAAAUAUGUAGAUGUGGUACUUAGGGACAUGUUUAGUGGUCAGUGUUGAUAGAAGGUGGAUGGUUGGACUAGAUUAUCUUUGAGAUCUUUUCCAACAUUCAUGAUUCUAUGUUGAGCUCCACAAAAAGGGCUGUUUGGAGCAGCCUCAUCUUGCCUCUCAUGGGAAGAUGCCCCUCCUGAGACCUUGUAGUGGAUAUGCCAAGUAAUGGCCUGAAACAGUAAUUGAGCACCUGCUGGUAGGCAGGACCAAUCUGUGGGAGCUCAGGUGCAUGUAGUGCCCCUGAACGAAUGACCAGAUGGGGUGGAUCCUGUCUCCUCCCCUUCCCAGACCUCAUCUAUGGGUUUGCAGUGGAGUUGAAAUCAUCUAGCUGAAAUUUCCUGCCUACCUGAAGUCUUCCAAAGGUAAGUGGCUCCUUUACUUCAUUUUUGUGUCCUUGUUUGCUGCAGCCAAGUACUUUGUUACCUUGCUCUACUUUCCAUCACAUUAUGACAUUACAGCCCCUGAUGUCACAAUACUGGUACCUCUACAGUGUGCCAUGGUGCCAGAACAGUGCACAGAAGUGGAUCCAGUAUGCUCAGUGAAGAGCCAUUAUUAGCUGUGGGGAAAAAAAGACUCAAGCAAGCAUUUCAAGUGCUUGGUUGCUGUGUAUGUAUGUGUGUAUGUAUGAAAACAAACCAAAGAUGUGUUUCUGCAUUGGUUACUGUGAGUCAACAGAGAAAUUCUUGGGUUGUUUGUAGCACUCUAGGGCAAAGGAAGCUGGCCCCAGCCUGCAUCUGUAGUCUCAAGCACAUUCUUCAGAAGGUCUCCAGUAUUAGAGCCGUACAGAUGGCAGGAAGGAAGAGAAAUAAGAAGAAAAGGGAAGAGAAAAUUACACUGGAAGCUAAAUGGCCUUCACAAUAA